GACAGAGGGUGCAACCGUUGUUCGGAAUUACUGGGCGUAAAGGGCGCGUAGGCGGCCUUCUAAGUCGAACGUGAAAUCCCCGGGCUCAACCCGGGAACUGCGUCCGAUACUGGAAGGCUUGAAUCCGGGAGAGGGAUGCGGAAUUCCAGGUGUAGCGGUGAAAUGCGUAGAUAUCUGGAGGAACACCGGUGGCGAAGGCGGCAUCCUGGACCGGCAUUGACGCUGAGGCGCGAAAGCCAGGGGAGCAAACGGG
rnacentral:rRNA from 1 species